UCGCGGAUCAGCACGCCGCGGUGAAUACGUUCCCGGGCCUUGUACACACCGCCCGUCACACCACGAGAGUUUGUAACACCCGAAGUCGGUGAGGUAACCUUUUGGAGCCAGCCGCCUAAGGUGGGAUAGAUGAUUGGGGUGAAGUCGUAACAAGGUAGCCGUAUCGGAAGGUGCGGCUGGAUCACCUCCUUUCUAAGGAA
rnacentral:rRNA from 1 species